rnacentral:sRNA from 1 species
AGUAAGUCUAGUGGUCCUAUAUUUGUUAGCCAAGAAAUCCGAUAUUUCUUUUGUAGAAUUGUAAUCAGCAAAUUGAACAUCGAUUGCAGGGACAAAAUAUUGCGGAACAAAGGUCGACAAAUAUGGUUGUUCAUGUUGGAGGCAACUUGGAGGUGUUCGAGCUUCGAGGCGGUGGUUCGAAGUAGCUGAUGGUGGUGCAGUGUUGUUGGUGGGCAUUGCAGGAGUGAUUUUUUUAAAGAUUCUACUUGCUUCUAGUGCAUGAAUUUAUCUUAUUAAAUUUGGAUAUACAAUAGAGUGCACAUCAGAUGUCCACAUCCGAAGAAAAAUAAAUCUUCAAAAAAUGAAUCAAAUAUGAAAAUUAAAAAAUCACAAUACUGGAUAUUGAUAAUAUAGGAAGAAUCGGAU